AUUGAACGCUGGCGGCAGGCCUAACACAUGCAAGUCGAACGGUAACAGGAAACAGCUUGCUGUUUCGCUGACGAGUGGCGGACGGGUGAGUAAUGUCUGGGAAACUGCCUGAUGGAGGGGGAUAACUACUGGAAACGGUAGCUAAUACCGCAUAACGUCGCAAGACCAAAGAGGGGGACCUUCGGGCCUCUUGCCAUCGGAUGUGCCCAGAUGGGAUUAGCUAGUAGGUGGGGUAACGGCUCACCUAGGCGACGAUCCCUAGCUGGUCUGAGAGGAUGACCAGCCACACUGGAACUGAGACACGGUCCAGACUCCUACGGGAGGCAGCAGUGGGGAAUAUUGCACAAUGGGCGCAAGCCUGAUGCAGCCAUGCCGCGUGUAUGAAGAAGGCCUUCGGGUUGUAAAGUACUUUCAGCGGGGAGGAAGGGAGUAAAGUUAAUACCUUUGCUCAUUGACGUUACCCGCAGAAGAAGCACCGGCUAACUCCGUGCCAGCAGCCGCGGUAAUACGGAGGGUGCAAGCGUUAAUCGGAAUUACUGGGCGUAAAGCGCACGCAGGCGGUUUGUUAAGUCAGAUGUGAAAUCCCCGGGCUCAACCUGGGAACUGCAUCUGAUACUGGCAAGCUUGAGUCUCGUAGAGGGGGGUAGAAUUCCAGGUGUAGCGGUGAAAUGCGUAGAGAUCUGGAGGAAUACCGGUGGCGAAGGCGGCCCCCUGGACGAAGACUGACGCUCAGGUGCGGAAAGCGUGGGAGCAAACAGG
rnacentral:rRNA from 1 species